rnacentral:lncRNA from 1 species
ACAAGACUUCUGAUGCAAGCCUCCACUUUGACCACCCCGCUUCUAUACGAUGAGUGACGUCCCCGUCAAUCUCUCCGUCCCCCUGAAUCACUGACCCAAGAUAUCUGACACUAUCUCUUUUGGCGAUGACCUGAGAUCCACUUCACUCGGCUCGGUGCUAAACUUGCAAUCCAGGUAUUCUGUCUUAGAUCUGCUUAUUUUGAAACCUUU